rnacentral:lncRNA from 1 species
AUUUAGAAAUUAGGAUAACAAGAAUAUUUGUGGAUAGAUGAGUAUUCUUUGAGAAUUUUUCAUGAAGAAGUUGUAUUUUUAAAUAAUUUUCUUAAAAGCUGCUAUUUUUGGAAAGUUUUCAUUUUCUUGAGAAAUAUUGUAGAUUUGGGUUUGUGAUUUAGAAAUUUGGAAAACAAAAAUAUUUGUGGAUAGAUGAAUAUUCUUUCAGAAUGUUUUAUCAAUAUAUUGUAUUUUUAAAUAAUUUUUUUAAAAGCUGCUAUUUUUGGAAAGUUUUCAUUUUCUUGAGAAAUACUGUAGAUUUUGGUUUUUGAUUUAGAAAUUAUGAUAACAAGAAUAUUUGUGGACAGAUGAGUAUUCUUUCAGAAUUUUUCAUCAAUAUAUUGUAUUUUAAAAUAAUUUUCUUAGAAGCUGCUAUUUUUGGAAAGUUUUCAUUUUUGUGAGAAAUACUGUAAAUUUGGGUUUGUGAUUUAGAAACUAGGAUAACAAGAAUAUUUGUGGAUAUAUGAGUAUUAUUUCAGAAUUUUUAUCAAUAUAUUUUAUUUAAAAAUAAUUUUCUUAAAAGCUGCUACUUUUGGAAAGUUUUCAUUUUCUUGAGAAAUACUGUAGAUUUUGGUUUGUGAUUCAGAAAUUAGGAUAACAAGAAUAUUUGUGGAUAGAUGAGUGCUCUUUAAGAAUUUUUCAACAAUAUGUUGUAUUUUUAAAUAAUUUUCUUAAAAGCUGCUAUUUUUGGAAAGUUUUCAUUUUUUGAGAAAUACUGUAGAUUUGGGUUUGUGAUUUGGAAAUUAGGAUAACAUGAAUAUUUGUAAAUUUAUGAGUAUUCUUUGAGAGUUUUUCAUGAAGAAGUUGUAUUUUUAAAUAAUUUUUCUUAAAACCUGUUUUUUUUGGAAAGUUUUUAUUUUUUUGAGAAAUAUUGUAGAUUUCGGUUUGUGAUUUAGAAAUUUGGAAAACAAAAAUAUUUGUGGAUAGAUGAGUAUCCUUUCAGAAUUUUUUAUCAAUAUAUUGUAUUUUUAAAUAAUUUUUUUAAAAGCUGCUAUUUUUGGAAAGUUUUCAUUUUUUUGAGAAAUACUGUAGAUUUUGGUUUGUGAUUUAGAAAUUAUGAUAACAAGAAUAUUUGUGGACAGAUGAGUAUUCUUUCAGAAAUUUUCAUCAAUAUAUUGUAUUUUUAAAUAAUUUUCUUAAAAGCUGCUAUUUUUGGAAAGUUUUCAUUUUUUUUGAGAAAUACUCUAGAUUUGGGUUUGUGAUUUGGAAAUUAGGAUAACAUGAAUAUUUGUAAAUUUAUGAGUAUUCUUUGAGAGUUUUUCAUGAAGAAGUUGUAUUUUUAAAUAAUUUUUCUUAAAACCUGUUUUUUUUGGAAAGUUUUUAUUUUUUUGAGAAAUAUUGUAGAUUUCGGUUUGUGAUUUAGAAAUUUGGAAAACAAAAAUAUUUGUGGAUAGAUGAGUAUUCUUUUAGAAUUUUUUAUCAAUAUAUUGUAUUUUUAAAUAUUUUUUUAAAAGCUGCUAUUUUUGGAAAGUUUUCAUUUUUUUGAGAAAUACUGUAGAUUUUGGUUUGUGAUUUAGAAAUUAUGAUAACAAGAAUAUUUGCGGACAGAUGAGUAUUCUUUCAGAAAUUUUCAUCAAUAUAUUGUAUUUUUAAAUAAUUUUCUUAAAUGCUGCUAUUUUUGGAAAGUUUUCAUUUUUUUUGAGAAAUACUAUAGAUUUGGGUUUGUGAUUUAGAAAUUAGGAUAACAAGAAUAUUUGUGGAUAUUUGAGUAUUCUUUGAGAGUUUUUCAUGAAGAAGUUGUAUUUUUAAAUAAUUUUCUUAAAAGCUCCUAUUUUUGGAAAGUUUUAAUUUUUUUGAGAAAUUUUAUAGAUUUGAGUUUGUGAUUUAGAAAUUUGGAAAACAAGAAUAUUUGUGGAGAGAUGAGUAUUCUUUCAGAAAUUUUCAUCAAUAUAUUGUAUUUUAAAAUAAUUUUCUUAAAAGCUUCUAUUUUUGGAAAGUUUUCAUUUUUUGAGAAAUACUGUAGAUUUGGGUUUGUGAUUUAGAAAUUAGGAUAACAAGAAUAUUUGAAGAUAUAUGAGUAUUAUUUCAGAAUUUUUCAUCAAUAUAUUGUAUUUUAAAAUAAUUUUC